UAUUAGAAUUAAUUUGUAUGGUCGGUUGUGAUAAACAAUCUUGUACUGUAUAAGUGAUUCUUUCCUACUGGUUACUCGACUCUGUCCUUUACUGGAUGGAGUAGUGUCGCAAGGCAUCGCUUGAUGUUAUAUUGCCUGUAAGUGUAGUUAUUGGGUAAAACUGGUAGUGAAACUUAUAGGAUCACAGUAUAGUAUUAAGUGGGGUUCCAGUUCAUUUACUUUGAGUAAAAUUAGAGUGUUCAAAGCAGCCUCUUGGGGCAUUGAAUAGAUUAGCAUGGGGAUAAUAGAAUAGGACUCUUGUCUUUUUAUUGGUUUAAAGAUUAGAGUAAUGAUUAAUAGGGAUAGUUGGGGGCGACUUGUAUUCAAUAGUCAGAGGUGAAAUUCUAGGAUUUAUUGAAGACAAACUUACAGACGGAAAAGACAUUUGUCCAAGGAU
rnacentral:rRNA from 1 species